rnacentral:rRNA from 1 species
UUGACGGGACCGCACAAGCGGUGGAUGAUGUGGUUUAAUUCGAUGCAACGACGAAAACCUUACCCACCUUUGACAUGUACGGAACCUUUAGAGAUAGAGGGGUGCUCGAAAGAGAGCCGUAACACAGGUGCUGCAUGGCUGUCGUCAGCUCGUGUCGUGAGAUGUUGGGUUAAGUCCCGCAACGAGCGCAACCCUUGUCAUUAGUUGCUACAUUCAGUUGGGCACUCUAAUGAGACUGCCGGUGACAAGCCGGAGGAAGGUGGGGAUGACGUCAAGUCCCCAUGGCCCUUAUGGGUAGGGCUUCACACGUCAUACAAUGGUCGGUACAGAGGGUUGCCAACCCGCGAGGGGGAGCUAAUCCCACAAAGCCGAUCGUAGUCCGGAUCGCAGUCUGCAACCCGACUGCGUGAAGUCGGAAUCGCUAGUAAUCGUGGAUCAGCAUGUCACGGUGAAUACGUUCCCGGGUCUU